rnacentral:ncRNA from 1 species
AUAGAGUUUAACUCUAGCUUAUGUAUUUACUGUUAUGUAAAGGGAAUAUGUAAGUGUAUGCUUGAUAUACUACUACCUUCAAAAGAUCUGUAGUAACGAUUAAUCUCAGUUUAAAGUAUUAAAACAUUAAUUAAUAUUAUACUUAGUUAUACAUUUAAGGCCUAACUAAUACUGUGCCAGCAGUUGCGGUUAUACAAUAAGUCCAAGUAAAUAUUUAUUGGUUAUAAUAUUAUUAUGUAAUUUAAAUUAAUAUUAUAAAUAUAGUUGUUAGGUGAAAUUUUAAUUUUAUAAAAAGUAUUAGGUACUAUAUUAUUAUAUAUGAAAGCUAUAUAAGUAACUAGGAUUAGAUACCCUAUUAAUAUAGUUGUUAAUUAAUAACCUUAUUAUUAAUAGUUCUGUUCUUUAAAGUAAAAGAGUUUGGCGGUAAUUUAAUCUUCCCAGAGGAACCUGUCCUUUAAUUGAUAAUCCACGUUAGAUGUUACUUUAGUUUAUUAAGCUUGUAUACCUCUGUCAUUGAAUGUUCUAUUAGGAUGUAUCUUCUUAUUACUUUAAUAAGUAAAAUGUUAGGUCAAGGUGCAGCAAUACUAUAGUAGAGAUGGGUUACAUUCCGUAUAACGGUUGAAUUAAUUAAUGUAAGUAUUAGUUAUGAAAUUGGAUUUGGUAGUAAUUAUAAAUAAUUAUCUAUAAUGACUUUAGCUCUAAAUUAUGUACAUAUCGCCCGUCACUCUCAUUUAUAAAUGAGAUAAGUCGUAACAAAGUAGGUUUACUGGAAAGUGUACCUAGAAAGAUA